UGAUGAUGGGCUCUAGCUGCAGUCUGGCUUCACUGGUCUGGUGCAGAACAGUCUCUCUGCAGGCGGUUUGUAACUGUGGUCACAAAAAUCAAUGUUCUGGGAGAACGGGAAGCAGCUCCAUUUUUGGGGGGUCCUUUACACAGCUCAAGGUCUGGGUUCCAGGGUCCACCUUCAUGUUCCACCAAUGAGUUUGUUCACAGGGGGUGGAGUGUGUAGGGGAUGUCCUGAUAUGUGUGUAAGGAAUGCAUUGUGUGAAAUUGUGUUUGUAUGUGUAAGGGCUGCAAGGUGUGUUUCUUUGUAUGUAUGGGAUGCAUUGAAUGUGUGUAAGGGGUGCAUUGAGUGUGUGUUUCUGUGUGUGUAAGGGAUGCAUUGUGUGUAACGGUUGCAUUGCUUGUGUAUGUGUGUGUGUGUGUAAUGCAUUGUGUGUUUUUCUGUGUGCAAGGGGUGCAUUGUGUGUAUGUGAUGAAUAUCAAUCUCUCCUCCCGCUCCAAUUUCCUUCUCCUCCUCCCAAUUUCUCUUUCUCACCCCCCCUCCUAAUUUCUCUCCCCCCCUAAUUUCUCUUUCCCC